rnacentral:tRNA from 1 species
GGGCCUGUGGUCCAGUGGCAAGACGCCACAUUCGCAUUGUGGAAACGGCGGUUCGAAUCCGCCCAGGUCCACCA